rnacentral:rRNA from 1 species
UACGGAGGGUGCAAGCGUUAUCCGGAUUUACUGGGUUUAAAGGGUGCGUAGGUGGAUAAGUAAGUCAGUGGUGAAAUCUCCGGGCUUAACCCGGAAACUGCCAUUGAUACUAUUUAUCUUGAAUACUUUGGAGGUAAGCGGAAUAUGUCAUGUAGCGGUGAAAUGCUUAGAUAUGACAUAGAACACCAAUUGCGAAGGCAGCUUACUACACAGUAAUUGACACUGAGGCACGAAAGCGUGGGGAUCAAACAGG